GAUGAACGCUGGCGGCGUGCCUAAUACAUGCAAGUCGAGCGAACAGAUGAGGAGCUUGCUCCUCUGACGUUAGCGGCGGACGGGUGAGUAACACGUGGAUAACCUACCUAUAAGACUGGGAUAACUUCGGGAAACCGGAGCUAAUACCGGAUAAUAUAUUGAACCGCAUGGUUCAAUAGUGAAAGACGGUUUUGCUGUCACUUAUAGAUGGAUCCGCGCCGCAUUAGCUAGUUGGUAAGGUAACGGCUUACCAAGGCAACGAUGCGUAGCCGACCUGAGAGGGUGAUCGGCCACACUGGAAAUGAGACACGGUCCAGACUCCUACGGGAGGCAGCAGUAGGGAAUCUUCCGCAAUGGGCGAAAGCCUGACGGAGCAACGCCGCGUGAGUGAUGAAGGUCUUCGGAUCGUAAAACUCUGUUAUUAGGGAAGAACAAAUGUGUAAGUAACGAUGCACGUCUUGACGGUACCUAAUCAGAAAGCCACGGCUAACUACGU
rnacentral:rRNA from 1 species